CCAAGCAUGACCAACCCAAUCCUUCUCUUCAUACCCAAAAAAAAAAACCCUCUCUCUCUCCGGAGGUGAAGGCCCAAGAAAUGGUUUUCUAAAUUAUCUCCAAAACUCUCGCCCUCUCCUUCUCUCUCUACUUCGUUCCCUCGACUCCCUUCUAACUUUUCCCUCAGUCUAUCGACCCCCUCUCCCCUAGUCUCUCGUUCCCUUAUCGCUCAUUCCAUCCAUCCCGUGCAACAGUCGGAGUUGUUGGAUUCUGCAUAUGAGGUGGCGGUGAAGCACUGUACGACGAAACUACGAAUAAUAACCUUGUAUAUAUUAAUAAGGAAAAUUUACAGCCAUCUCUUCUCCCAUUUGUCUUUAUUACAUCCAUUAUUCAGUGUUUCGUUUAUCACAUUUAAACCUAUCCAAACUAAUAACGUGAGAGGGGUAAGAUGAUUUUACACUUCUUCUUCUCCACUAUUUACCUGGAACUCAUAGGGGGAAGGAGAAAUUUCGGGUGGGUUUGCCAAAGGUGGGGGAGGUUGAGAGACAAAAACAGGUGGAGGCGGUGAAGGUGAUUGAGGUGUAGGUGGUGAGGCCACCGGUUCCACAGGGGAAGGCGGACGAGGAGAACUACUAGAUGGUGGUGGUGGUGGUGAUAACACCAGAGAAGGCGGCGAAGCCACCACAGGUGGCGGAGGGGAUAGAGAAGGAGGUGGCGGCAGUGAAGCCACAAGCGGCGAUAGAGAGGAUUGAGGAGGUGGGGUUGACCUCGCAGCCGGAGGAGAAGGAGAGGAUUGAGGCUGCGGCGGUGACGACGAGUUAGAAGGAGGUGAAGUAGUCGUUGAAGAGGGAGAUGGCGGUGGACUAGUGGUCAACGCUAAUGGUGACGGUGGACAUGCAGUAGAAGAAGCAUCUGGUGGAGGAGUGGUAGUGGAAGGUGGAGAAUUUGGUGAAGGGGAUGCCAUCUUCAUCCAAUUUCUCUCCACCCCUUAAUAAUACAAUCCAAAUUUCAAAUCCAAUAUUCUCAUUCAAUACUAUAUCUCCAAGGUUUCCGUUUUUGAGCAAAACCCUCCAUGAAUCCAACACAAAAAACCCUAAAAUUAGGACUUUAAUCAGAAAUGAUUCUCCCACACCUUCUUCUUACUCGUCUAAAUAUUGGUCAGCCUGAGGGUUUCAGAUUCUUUUGAUUUGUUCUUAAUGUUUUUCAUUGGUUUGUAUUCUGUAGGUUGCAGUAGCACAUACCAUUGGACAUGUAGCUGCGACUGUGAGCAUGUCGAAGGUUGCAGUUUCGUUCACUCACAUCAUCAAGGGGAUCCCAUCAUCAAGAGCGGUGAACCUGCUUUCAGCGUCUUGGUUUCGAAGUUUAUCUUGGGUGAAACUUUUCCAGUGAGUGUAUAUCUGUUCCCUGUGCCAAUUAUCGCUGGUUGUGCUCUUGCCGCUGUCACCGAGCUUAAUUUCAACAUGAUAAGUGAGAAGAUUGUAUUUUUUCUUCAAAGAAUUGGAAUUUUCCUUCAACUUGCUCUUCCAUGGGAAGUUCUUGCUGUUCCAAGUUCUGAAUGAAGUCUAUAUCAAAGCUUAUUGUUAGGGUUUUUGGGAGCUAUGAUAUCAAAUCUGGCGUUCGUGUUCAGAAACAUAUUCUCGAACAGAGGGAUGAAGGGAAAUUCUGUUAGUGGCAUGAACUACUAUGCUUGUUUGUCCAUUAUGUCUCUGGCGCUUUUCACACCCUUCGCGAUUGCAGUGGCGAAUCCGCAACUGUGCGUAACUUGGCUGGCAACAAUAGGUUUCAAUGAUCAACCCCUAUUUGUUUGUAGUGUAUAUCUGGUGAGUUCUGCGCAAAUAUAGGAGAGGAGGAAGAAGGGUAAAAUCGUCUUUUUCAUUUCAAAAAUUCUAUUUGGUGUUAAUUUGGAUGGGUUUAAAUGUAAUAAAUGAAACACAAGAGAGGUGAAUGUAAUAAGGACAAACGUGAAGGGAGGUGAAUAUAAAUUUAUUAAUAAAUAUAAACAAGAAAGAGAAAGAAUAUGAAAGAGGAAGCGAGUUUUCUAGGGAGAGAAGAGAUGACUGAAAUCUGCAGCUGAAGCUCGUUUCAGUUCCUUUUAUUACUCAAUUUAAUUUCUCUGCAAUUGAUUUCAGCACAAUGGCAUCUCACAUUGUUGGAUAUCCAUGGAUGCUGUAGUUCAGGCUCUACUUGAGUGUGAAGAUAAACCAAUCGGCCAUAUAUAGCAAACAUAAUGUAAUAAACAGUUGAUAUAUGUGUUUCCCUUUUUUUUCCCCCUUUUUUCAUCUCCCUCUCAAAACCACCACCUUUUGUGGGUGAAAAGCUAUGGUGUUCCAUCACAUGCCGAAAUUUUAUAAUGUUUUGCUUUGUGAAUAAAUAAAAGCAGAAGCUGUAAGAUCACAGAGUUUGUAAUGCUUGCAUUGGUGAAGAUCCUAUCAGGUGUCUAAAACAUAAUUUUA